rnacentral:rRNA from 1 species
UACGUAGGGUCCAAGCGUUAAUCGGAAUUACUGGGCGUAAAGCGUGCGCAGGCGGUUAUGUAAGACAGAUGUGAAAUCCCCGGGCUUAACCUGGGAACUGCAUUUGUGACUGCAUGGCUAGAGUGUGACAGAGGGGGGUAGAAUUCCACGUGUAGCAGUGAAAUGCGUAGAUAUGUGGAGGAAUACCAAUGGCGAAGGCAGCCCCCUGGGUCAAUACUGACGCUCAUGCACGAAAGCGUGGGGAGCAAACAGG